AGAAGAUGAAGAAUAAAUUAAUUAAAAAUGAUAAUAAUAAUAAUAAGAAGAUGAAGAAUAAAUUAAUUAAAAAUGAAUUAAAAUCCGAGUCGGUGUGCAGGCGGAAGGCGGGUCACUCCAGGCUGCUGCAGUCGUCACUGUCGCUGCUAGUUGUAUCAUGAUCCAGGAUGACCGGGGAAGGACUCGGAGGAGGAAGACUGAACUGCUGGGGACCUGGAAUGUAGAAGAUCAUCGUUAAGCGUACAAUUUGGUGACAUGGUGAUAUAGAAUACCAAUGCUCACUUCGGAAUCAGGCCCUAUGUCCAAAAUUCCGAACUACCCCUUCAAGAACUCAGAUUAAAGUUACCAAUUGUAAGUGGGAAAUGUAAAAAACGGGUGGAUAGGAUAUUGUGCCAAUUUCUCAAACACCUUGAAGAAUAACUUCAAGGUUCUUUUUUCAAUUUCUCAAACACCUUGAAGAAUAACUUUUAAAUUCCAUGUUAGGUAAAGCUCCAUGAAACUGUAAAAGGUUCAGCACAUCCCUCUUGCCCCUCAAACGCUUCAAGAGAAAGAGCAAGUAAGUCUCAUUUCCAGUAUUUGAUGGUUUGCUGUUCAUGCAUACCUUCAUGCACUCUGCUUUCUCUCCUCUUUCUUCCUCCACUCCGGUCACCGCUGCACUUCAGCCAGUUUUUAAUAACUGCCUCGCAGUCGCUGGCCGAAAUGUUCUGGCUAGCCGAUGCACCUAAACAGAGAAAGUGUAUUUAUUUAGUUUAUUUAACAUUGAUUUAUUGAGGAGGAAAGAUCCUUUGAGAUUAGUAAUCCGUUUUUCAUGUCCUGGCCAAUAAUACAAUGGUACAAAGUGCAUUACAAGUGUUUAAUGACAAGAUGCAUGCAGUACACUCCAUGGUUAUUCAAAAGAAAUGAAUCCAUUUCAUAAUUCAUAGCUCAAUGAGUGAUUUGUUUACAUACCUCUUACUACAUUGCACACCUUGUAGGAGGCAAAAGCUAGCUUCUUCCCUCCUCUGCCAAGCCAGUUGAAUUUCAGCGCGAAGUGGUUGGUGAGGAUGUGGCGAAGGAUUCUUCCGAACCGCGUCACCAGGAUUGCAGCCCCCAAGCGCACUAAGGUGUGCUGCCUGCAGAUAGAGUGUCUGCUGCUGCUGUCGUUUUUUGCCUAGUAAGGGCCUGGAGGAGGAGGUUGUUCUGCCUCACCAAGGCCUUCAACUCCUCCACAGCACGCAGGAGUGCAUGAUCCCGUUCUACAGGACAGAAAAACAUCAUGACUGUCAUGUCAAGAGGUGCUCCUGGUUUGGGCUUUUUUCAGGUUCAUACGCGCUGCAUCAUAAUUGGCUGUUGAAGACAACAAUGAAUUCCCAUCUCUCAGACUUACCUGAUCCUCCAUCCAAACUCUGAUGUUGGAAUCCAUGCUGUCCAGUCCAUGUGAAGAGCACAGGAAGCACACUUAAUAGGUAUCACCAUAUGUCUGGUUGAGCUCCACAAAAGAUCUCGUCUGGCUCAGCUGUUUGAAGCGCAUCUACCUAAAUGUGUCAUUGUAAGGUGGUCUCCCUCUCUCCCUCCCCACCUCCCUCUCUCCCUCCCCACCUCCCUCUCUCCCUCCCUCCCUUAUCACUCCUAGGCACACCAGGUGCAAAGUCCAGCACAAAUUGGGUCACCAAGCCUACAUCUAGGUGUUGUAAUGGACUGUCCGCUUUUAAAGCCUAAGGGGAGAAAAGUGACCUGGGCCCUCUUGCAUGCACCUUUCGCAGUGGUAAUAGGAAUUGUGUGCUUUUAUUUUUUUUUAGAAAUGCCCAUGCCUGUGCAUCACAGACAAAACAGGAAAUUUCGAUUUUACUUAGAACAGUAACCCGGCUUGCGGAGGUACCUUCCCUUACACCCAAACUCCUUUUCUGUACAUAGUUUCUCAUUUAUUUAUUUUGUCUGUUCAGUCAAAUUGCAAAGAUUGUAUUUAUAUAUUGCAUUUCAUUUUCAUCAGUUUAUCAGUUGUUUGCACUGACAUACACAUGACAAUUAAAACUUGCGUUGUACUAUUUUAUACAUCAGUGUUUUGCCUUUU
ensembl:lncRNA